rnacentral:rRNA from 1 species
AGUCUGACGGAGCACGCCGCGUGAGUGAUGAAGGUUUUCGGAUCGUAAAGCUCUGUUGUUAGGGAAGAACAAGUGCAAGAGUAACUGCUUGCACCUUGACGGUACCUAACCAGAAAGCCACGGCUAACUACGUGCCAGCAGCCGCGGUAAUACGUAGGUGGCAAGCGUUGUCCGGAAUUAUUGGGCGUAAAGGGCUCGCAGGCGGUUUCUUAAGUCUGAUGUGAAAGCCCCCGGCUCAACCGGGGAGGGUCAUUGGAAACUGGGAAACUUGAGUGCAGAAGAGGAGAGUGGAAUUCCACGUGUAGCGGUGAAAUGCGUAGAGAUGUGGAGGAACACCAGUGGCGAAGGCGACUCUCUGGUCUGUAACUGACGCUGAGGAGCGAAAGCGUGGGGAGCGAACAGGAUUAGAUACCCUGGUAGUCCACGCCGUAAACGAUGAGUGCUAAGUGUUAGGGGGUUUCCGCCCCUUAGUGCUGCAGCUAACGCAUUAAGCACUCCGCCUGGGGAGUACGGUCGCAAGACUGAAACUCAAAGGAAUUGACGGGGGCCCGCACAAGCGGUGGAGCAUGUGGUUUAAUUCGAAGCAACGCGAAGAACCUUACCAGGUCUUGACAUCCUCUGACAACCCUAGAGAUAGGGCUUUCCCUUCGGGGACAGAGU